rnacentral:rRNA from 1 species
AGGAAGUAAAAGUCGUAACAAGGUUUCCGUAGGUGAACCUGCGGAAGGAUCAUUAUUGAAUAGCUUUGGGGCGCUGUGCUGGCCUUUCGGGGCAUGUGCACGCGUUUCCAUCUAUUUACUUAUCUCUUGUGAACCUAGUGUGGGCUUUGAAUGAGUGGGUUCGAGUGGAACUGGUCUUUCAUUAGAUUGGGGAAGCUUGGGCUAGCUUGUUUGAAGACCAUUUUUAUAAACCUAUUUGAAAUUUAUCAGAAUGUACUUCUUUACUUGACGCGAGUCAGUAAGAACCUUAUACAACUUUCAGCAACGGAUCUCUUGGCUCUCCCAUCGAUGAAGAACGCAGCGAAAUGCGAUAAGUAAUGUGAAUUGCAGAAUUCAGUGAAUCAUCGAAUCUUUGAACGCACCUUGCGCCCUUUGGUAUUCCGAAGGGCAUGCUUGUUUGAGUGUCAUUAACUUCUCAACCUUGGUGGACUUUGUUGCUCACUUCAAGGCUUGGAUGUGAGGGUCUUUGCUGGCUUCCUUCAGUGGCGGUCUGCUCCCUUUAAAUGCAUUAGUGGAAUCCUUUGUGGACGGUCACUUGGCUUGAUAAUUAUCUAUGCUUUGUGUGCUUUGAAGCAAACCUUAUGGGACUUCUGCUUAUAACCGUCUUGUAAUAAGACAACUUUUUGAACCUUUGACCUCAAAUCAAGUAGGACUACCCGCUGAACUUAAGCAUAUCAAUAAGCGGAGGAAAAGAAACUAACAAGGAUUCCCCUAGUAACUGCGAGUGAAGCGGGAAAAGCUCAAAUUUAAAAUCUGGCAGCUUCGCUGUCCGAGUUGUAAUUUAGAGAAGUGUUACCCGUGCUGGACCGUGUACAAGUUCCCUGGAAUGGGACGUCAUAGAGGGUGAGAAUCCCGUCUCUGACACGGACUGCCAGUGCAUUGUGGUGCGCUCUCAAAGAGUCGAGUUGUUUGGGAAUGCAGCUCAAAAUGGGUGGUAAAUUCCAUCUAAAGCUAAAUAUUGGGGGAGAGACCGAUAGCGAACAAGUACCGUGAGGGAAAGAUGAAAAGAACUUUGGAAAGAGAGUAAACAGACGUGAAUGUAGAGAG